UAGGGAAUCUUCCACAAUGGGCGAAAGCCUGAUGGAGCAACGCCGCGUGUGUGAUGAAGGAUUUCGGCUCGUAAAACACUGUUGUAAGAGAAGAAUGACAUUGAGAGUAACUGUUCAAUGUGUGACGGUAUCUUACCAGAAAGGAACGGCUAAAUACGUGCCCG
rnacentral:rRNA from 1 species